rnacentral:rRNA from 1 species
UCAAGCGUUGUUCGGAUUCAUUGGGCGUAAAGGGUGCGUAGGCGGCGCGGUAAGUCGGGUGUGAAAUCUCGGAGCUUAACUCCGAAACUGCAUUCGAUACUGCCGUGCUUGAGGACUGGAGAGGAGACUGGAAUUUACGGUGUAGCGGUGAAAUGCGUAGAUAUCGUAAGGAAGACCAGUGGCGAAGGCGGGUCUCUGGACAGUUCCUGACGCUGAGGCACGAAGGUCAGGGGAGCAAACGGG